AAGUCGUAACAAGGUAACCGUAGGUGAACCUGCGGUUGGAUCAUUACCAACUUGGUUUUUUGCUUUGCUUGUGUUUCCGGCUCAUGGCGUUUGUCUUGGGUUUCGGGGUGCAGCAAUCAAAACACUUUACCCCCCUCUGUGAACUGUUUUCUGUAUCUUUGGCAGCCCUCCUUCUGGGGAAGGUGGCAAUGCAAGGGAAAGCCUUUUAAACGGGGUUUUCAUUUGUGUUUUUGCUUUUUCCUUGGGCGGCCAUACUCUGUUUCUCUUACACUUGUACCCCACAUCAUGAUAGUCUUUAACUUUAUGUAAGCGCGUCAUACUUGUAUGAGUGUGCGAACUGGAGUGAAAACGUAAAUAAUGAAUUUACAACUUUUGACAACGGAUCUCUUGGCUCUC
rnacentral:misc_RNA from 1 species